ensembl:lncRNA
UUUUUGCUUUUAAAAUCAACUCACAUAAAUUCUCCAAAACCAAACAACAUGAAUUAAUUAAAAAAAAAAUAAUUUUAGAGCUUUUUAAAAUUCCUCAAUUAAAACCAUUUUGUAGCACUUAAAAACAUAAGCAAGCAUAAUCUCUCAGGAUUUCAGUAACAUUUUAGAGGUAUGAUUUAUCUCCUCUUAACUACAGAAAUCCACAGUUUAGAAGGCUACAGCUGAGCUAGCUGUCUAGACUUCCUUUAUGAUCAAUGGGCAGAAACAGGUAUUUUGAAUGUUGAAAAUACACCAAGUGAUUUGUACAUCUACUUUGUGAUGAAGUUAAGUCAUGACCCAGGAGCACUCAUUGCCUUCCCAGGACUAUACAGAGAGUUCAGAUCCACAAAGACGUAUUGUGGACAGCUAACUUCAGUGAGACGGCUUGGUGCACCUCGGGUAGCUAGAGCUCAGACAUUCAAAAAACCAUUUAAGUGACUAACUAAUAAGAGAAAUUUUGCAAGCUUAAAAUCAGCACCUUUUUUUAAAAGAAAUCUGUAAUCCUAGAUCUUUUUAAUAUCUCGGGGGGGGGGGUGGAAUAAGGAAAGAAAAAAAGUUUUCUAGAAGAAAACCCAAAAAUCGUGGAAAAAAUUUGUGAGAAUAACCUUGUGAACAUUUAAACACUGUCCAUGCACAAACAAAACAGCAUACAGGUGCAAAGUAAAACACAUGUGAAGAAUCAAGUAUGCCCAGAAUUAAAUGAGAAUAAACCAAUCUGUCUGGCCCCUCAUAAAGUUACUGUGCAUCACUCUUCAGUGAGAUCACAUUAGGAAAUCAUUUCCUCCCACGUGAAACCCUGUAAACUCCCAAUUUAAGAUACUACAAGUACAUUGAUACUCCCAUAACUAUAUGCUUAGACUAACUCCAGGUUUGGACUGCUCUGGCACUUUGGUUUCUGAAGAGAAUCAUCUGACAGGGUUUUUUUAACUGUCUUUUUUCUAACAUGCUGUUGUAGUGGCACAUCUAAGAAGAGAAAUACCAUAUCAGAUUUAACAUACAAUAAUCCCAAGUCACUCAAGAGUUCAACUCUGGCAAUCUUCUUGAAGAAACAUUACAAAGUAUUGACAGCAAGGACAGCUUAUGCACCACGUAAGUCCUAAAGGAUUCAGUUCUGCUCUAUUCGCGUUAGAAUAGGCCAAGUGAAAAACACUAAUGUAAGCCUGAGAUUUCUUGUUUUAAAUUAUAUAUAUGUCCUCUGUACGAGCUGCAAGUUCUUCCUUUUGCGCUCUUUCUUCUGCUCAAACAGGCCUAUUUUGCUGUACCACUUACAAUGUUAUCUAAUGAAUGUGGCGCACAGUACUACUACUACCACCAUGUUUCCCUUUACUAUUCUUACUACCUGAAGACAUGCACAAAAGGGAAUAUAUUCUAUAAAGCCUGCAGUUCAGAAAUCAAAGUAUAACUUGAUGGUGUCAAUUUAUCUGUUCUUAUGUCAGCACAGAUUUCUUCCCCUACCAAAACAAAACUGUGAUCACGUAAGCCUCUGGUUAUAAAUCCAUUUAGUUUGGAAAUUGAGGAUAUACUUUUCAUUACAGCUUUAUGAGAUUGUAAAUGAGUAAGUGUCUGAAUUUCAUGGUCUAAGUUUCAUAUGUGCUAAUAAUAAUUACAUAAAGUGUAUAUUUACAGUUGGCAUUUUCAACUGUGGAAAAUACUCCCAGUCUUUACAUACUGUCAAGUUCUAACACGAAAGCAGCUGUUACCUCCCAAGUUCUACCUAUCACAAUGACUAUUAGCUCUUGAAUGCAGAAUUUCAAAGUAGAGUUAAAAAAAAAAAAAAAAAAAAA